CUCCUGAGCCAAUAUGACUGCUGGAAAGAUGCUGCGUUGCUUGGGACAUCCUCCAUGACCCACUCGAAGCCCCUGGGGUAGUAGAUCCCUGUCCUUGGGUGUGGCACCCACAAAGCUGUGUCUGCUGACCUUGCUUCUGCAGGUUGCACCUGUCGCAUAAGGUUUAGAGGGAUGGCUAGACGCAAAUUACCGGAGAAGAUUAGUGGAUGUUGCAAUUGCACUGCGAGCCAUCAACAGAGGCUGGAGAGGCACCAAAAUGUCCUAUUGGUUGCUCUUCCCUCUGUGUCAAACAGCUGAUGGCAGCUCCCUCUUUGUUUACAUAGACUGCACAUCUGGUAGAGUAUGGAUGAUUUGACCAGCUGCCAUGGACGAUCACGAACGAUUUGAUUCACAGUCGCUGGCUUCGACUUGAGCUUUUGAGCUUUGAUUGCACCCGUUCGGACAAAACACCAUGAGAACUGAUGCUCCCAGAAUCUGAAGUCAAAUCUGGCCAAGUACGGUCCUUUGGGUGGUACUGUUACUACUUGGAGAAUCAUGAGACAGCACUACUGAUGCUGAUUGUACCUUACUAGCAAAAAUGGGAACACAAUUCUCAAAAAGAAAGGGAGAGAGAAACCAGAACACAACUAGAAGAAAAGCAAAUUUUGUGCGAAAGACUACCCUAUAGAUAUAUGGUUGUCUGGUUGGGAAGGAUAUUGUUUGUUACAGGGACUUCUUAUGAACCAUAUAAUAUAUGUAUAAUAAGUAACUGAAAUUUGGACCCCACCGUUAGAUGGAUUCAGGCAAAUUAUACAUCUGCUGGUAGCUUUUUUUACCGAUUUCGAGCUAGAAACUCAUGGCAGGGAUGUGUUUGCCUGCUGGAUAUUGUGUCGUAUGGCCUCAGAAAUUUUUCGCAUACGGCUUUAUGAUCUGAUCCAUCUUCCCCAUCCAUUUUAUCUGAUAUGCAUCAUGAACAAUCCUUUAUCACAAUAAUGGAGAUCAUGGGAUUGGGAUCUGAUUCCCGUUGUGGGAUGCAUAGCUGUGGUGCAAAACUAAAGAUGGAGCAUUUCUUGUUUCUUUGUCUCUUCCUGCUGCAGCCUUCAGGGUGGCAAGUAAGUUUUUCCCCUCCUGAUUUGACAUUGGAGUCAGAAGCAUGAUAUUGUUACAUAGCAAGAAAAUUGAUUUUCUUACAUUUUAGGCAUCAGUGUAUCAGUGUGGUGAGAUUAGUCUAUCAGAGAGUUAUAACAGUGGAAUAAACCUUUUGUGGGAGCUUUGGUAUUUAGUUUGAACUAAAUACCGAUAUUUAAGUGGGGAUUACCCUUGUUCCAACAGGGCCUAAGCAAAUCCGGUUUCAAAGCACUGUCGCUUAAGGUAACAUAGCCGUCGUCUUAGCAAAAUUCUGAAACGUCAUGACGGAAGAAAUAUGAAGAAUGAGUAACGGUGCACGAGCUGUCUCACCAGUCACCACACCAGACUCAGCUACGGAAGCUCACCUCUCGCAGGACGAGCAUGGCAAAAUCGGCCUACUGGGCCCAAUUCGCAGAUUACUCGACAACAAAGAUGAAUAUUACUGUGGAAUGAUGAUUUUCGGCGACCAGUUGCACUAGCACCUCAUGUCUAAAACAUUGCUAAAUUUUGUACGAAAAUAUAAUCUGUUGUGAAAAAAAGACAGAGACAAGAUUAGUAGCCACCAAGUGUUCAGUUGUGUACAAAGUCAAGUGUUGUGCAAUGUAAUCAUUUUAUUUCAAAGAAAGCAAGAGAACCUCUAUUCGGCGUGUAGAUAAGCAGGCGUUAGUGUUCCUUGCUUAGCCACCGCCACUUGAACUAGCCGCCACUGCAGCUCCUUGUUGUUUUUCCCUUCACAAAGAUAGCAAUGAUGGGUCACAAAUAAUUCUGCUCAUUCAAGUGAAGAUUAAUAAUAUGUUGUUAUCUACCGUUUUUCCUCACCUACGGUGACACAAUUUUAGGCUUUUGUUUCUUGGUCCCCGAUACUGCCUCGUCAGUGCAUCCUCUGGUGUCAACAAGAAUCGGAGAGAUCUUAUGCAAGUAUAUUAGGCUCCUUGGAGUGGCGGCAUCGAACAUCAUGGAUCGACGGCUUCAUGCUGCCCCGGUGGCGACUUCUUCUCUCGGACAAUGGUCCUCAUGGGUCUUAGUCAUAAUGACCCCGUCCGUAGUCAGCAACAUCAGCGUGGCUUCGAUAGUGGCGGCAUGUCAUCAACUCGUACCAGUGGAAGAAGGCGGAGAGUUCCUCAAGAAUCUAGUUAUUUUCUUUGUUUUUGUUAGUGGUUCUCUGUAAUGCUGGAGUUGUUUAAUAAAAAAAAUACUUGUUCUUCAUAAAAGUGUUGUAAGAAUAUGAUGUGCUAAAAACUAAUUCCAUGGACAUUUUUACUUGAGUAAAAUGCAGGUGCAAUCCUCAUGGUUCAGCAUGUGAGAACCAAUCUAAAAGACAAUUAUCAUGGAGAAAUCACAACAUAGAGAUUGUGAAGUUUCCUCUAAAAACUGCCUUACUUUUAAGACAGAGCCACAGAGGUAUUUCCCCCAAAAAAAAACGCUCGUGUUUAAUCUUAAAACAUAACCUCUCUAUCACAACAAGUGUAUUUAGAAAUGGCACUGAUUUCCUAAGAAAUGAAAAGAAAUGGCACCGGUCGCUCCCAAGGGGCGACACGGGCGGAACCCUAGAUCCGGCCGCCGGCGCCGCCCCUACCCUCUCCUCCUCCCCUCGCCACUGCCGGUGAGUGCUGCUGGGCAAAGCCUUGGUGACGUCGGUGGCGGCGGGGCCUUUCCGGGCCGUGGCGGUUGGUCACCUGUGGCGGCGCGUGGUGUGGUGGCGGCACUUGGACGUGGCGCACGAUGGUCCAGCAGCUGCUGGCGGCGUGGAUUCGGAGGCUGCGAGCGCCGUGCCCCGACGGCGGCGGGCUCGGCUCUGUGUCGCGGUGGCGGCGUGGCCCGGCCAGAUCUGCGUGGGCGGCUCCUAGCUGCGGCUAGCGUCGGCUGGCGUGGUGCGCCGGGGCAGCGGCGCCGUGCGGCGCCAGGAUGGUGGACGCACUGGUCCUGGCCCGCGGGGGCGGGGGCGCCGCCGGGGCGCGCGGCCAGCUCCAACGGUGGUGACGCCGGUCUUUGCGGCGGCCUGCUUGUCGGUGGCGGGCCUGGCGGCGGUUGGCGUGCAAAGGCUGCAGCUUGGCCUUGCGGGCAGCGACGGCAGCGGAGGCGUGGAAAGGCCGGAGCUUGCCCUUGGGGGCGGCCGGGGCAGUGGGGGCGCGCAAAGGCUGGGGCUUGCCCUUGCGGGCGGCCGCGGCUGUGGAGCGCGGCUGGCUUGGGCUGCAGCGGGUGUUGCCGUGGGGGCCGCGGAGGCUUGGAUCCUGCGGAGGAGGGCCGGAAUCAGGGUCGAAACACUUGUGGUUUUCCCUCCAUCCGGUACGGGACUCGCCGACAUGAUCCCUCGGCGGCUCCUGGACGGGUUCGUUGUCCGUGGUCUUAGGCCGGAGAGAAAUCUCUGCGUGGGUGUUGGCCUACGCCGACGAUGAUGACGGUCGCGGCCGCCAUUACCUUCUUGGAGGCGUCGUUGUGGCUUGGCCGCGGCUUCCUCCUCCUUUGUCAUCGAGGGAAACCCUUGGUCUGGCCGUCGGACCCGGCAACGGCGGCGCUCAACGUCGUUCUACUCUCUUGAGAGCGUUGUCUAGGUGGCCUUGGAGCCCUUUAGUGAGCAUGGUUGCUGUGAGUGAUGGUGCCGGUUCCAUGCCUGGAACGCUGGACUUCUAGGCACGAUGUACGCACUUUGGCCAAUCUCCUUAUUCAGUUUCGGCCUGCGGCUACCCCA